AAAAGAUUAUACUACUUCUAACUACAUGCCAUAUGAUUACUUAAGUUGAAAGAAAUUCCCCAAAUCAAAUCAGCUGGUGGUAAGAGAGGUGGAUUAAGCUGGAAAAUGUAGAAAUUUGUGUGACUGUGUGUUAUUUUAUCCAAACAUAAACUUCACUCAUGAACCCCCAAAGCAGGGUCUCAUUUCCAUUUGGAAAAUUGCAAUUGGUGUUUUUCUCGUUGUCUGUUUUGGUUCUUAUGAAAAGAAAGUGGAAAAAUGGCCUGAUGAGGUGGCAUAACGCAUCAAUCCACACUCCGUCUCUGACUGUUCUCCCCACAGCGGUCAGUCCACAAAGUCUCUAACACUUGCUGCUAUUAAUAAAAGCUGAAGAAAAUGAUGCCUUUGUCUGAAGACAUUAGCAGGAUUGUGGUUGUGUUCCAAAGGACUGGAGGCUGAGAGGAGGGUGUGAGAAGGCCAGUUGCCCAGGGCACCAACCUAAAGAGUUGCUAAAUUUAAGGGGGAAGGCACCCAGCCAGCCAUCAAUGAGCCACAAUUGCUCUGUCGCCAAUCUAGGUGUCCGUGUUGCUUGAAAUAGUUCUGCUUACUUUAAGCUGUUCUACCACAUGUGCUCAGAAAUUCUAAAGACCAUUUACACACUUUAUUGAAGCGAGUUUUUAAAAAUUGGACAUGCAGUCUUGCUCUAUACUCAUGUUAAUGACUACUUUAGAAUUAAAGUUAUUAAGACGUCUCAACAUUUUGAAUUUAAACCAGGAAACCAGCACCAUCUCCUGCCUCCCCUGACCCCCAAACCCUCCACAAUAGAAAAAAUAGUUUUCCUAUUUAGUUCUUAUUUGAGGAUACUGCAGUGUUUCAGCAUCCUGGCUGAACGGUAAAAUCACCUAAAAAUCUGAGCCACAUCAGAGUCCAAUUGAAACAGACCUCUGCGGGUAGGUCCCAGGAAUUUAUAUGUCCUAAGUGCUCCCGGCGUGAUUCUGAUACUCAGUGAGGGUUGAAUGAGAACCAGGUGGUAAUGGCUUCUCUUAUACUCUCAGCAUUUAGCUCACAUCUGAAACACCUGGAGGGCUUGUGAAAACAGAUCGUUGAGCCCUGCUCCCAGAGUUUCAGACUGAGUAGGUCUGGGAUGGAGAAUUUCCAUUUCCGUCAAGUUCCAGUGCCUGUCGAUGCUGCUCCAGGGACCACACUUUGAGAACCACCUCUCUAAUAUCUAACCACCUCUAACGAUCCUGACUCAUUCUGCAUAUCCUAAGGAGAACCACAACAACCUAACUUCAACUCCCUAAAGAAAUAAGAAUUAGAAGGAAUGGGGUUUCAGAGACUCGAAAGACUGAACUACUGGGGCUUGAGGAAAAAGGGAUUUGCUUGUGUCUAGGAGAGACUGUGUUCAGGGCUAUCUACGAUGGGGGUGGAGGGAAAGGUGGAAACAUUUAUCCAAUGCUUGCUGUCUCCCAUUGGUCAAAAGAGGUCCGGGAAUGUGAAAGCCCCUGCACUGCAGUUGUGUGUGUUUGGGGGGUUGGGGCGGGAGUGAAGAGGUGCCCAGGAGGGCCCCAAAGAGGCAGGGCACCUCAGAUGGCGGUGAGUGCCUGUGGCACAGGCAGGCUACCCCUGGGGAGCCGUCAGAGUCAUGCACUGCUGGCACAAGAUACAUCAGGGCUGGGAGGCUCCGGCUGGUACGGAAGAGGCGUGUGAUUUGGUUUCAGGGAGGGGCCAUGGAUGCCAGCGGAGUGGUCCAUAGUGCCCACCGCAGAACUCUCGGUCGCUUGUGUGACAGGAAUCUACACGUAAAAUAAAAACCAGCCACAAAAUCCUAAUAAGCCAUUUGUUUCAAAGUUCUCUCCAGAUUUACUAGCUCUGCAAAUUCAAUAGAUGGAGGCAGGCACCCGCUUUGUUCAUAGUGCCCAUCCAUACUGCAGGAGACCUUAGCGAGCACUAGAAAGACCCCAGAGCGCAAUGGGAAGGUGGGCUCUGGUUAUCAAGGAACGGGAUAACUGUCUUCUGGAUUAGUGAAAGUGGGUACGACGGAGAUGGAGAAGUGGAAUUCAAAGGUUGUUUUAGAAGGAUCCGAUGGGAGUCACUAUUCCUCGGCAGCACAAUUAAAUUUUUAGCCACGUAUAUUUGCAAACACUUUAAAAGGGAACCCCGUGGGCAGUGAGAAAUGAACUGGUCUAGGAGUCAGAAAACCUUCGAGUCCUGAUUUUGUUGAUAAUUAGUGACACGUAGUCAAGGCACUCUGACUUCCUGAGUCUCCCUGUCUUCUUACAAAACGAUGAUCACUAAAGUCAGCCCUGACAAAUAUUCUGCGAAACAGCGAUGAAGAAUCUGAUGUUAGGUCCCAGAUUAGCCUUGAGCUAACAUCUGCUGCCAAUCCUCCUCUUUUUGCUGAGAAAGACUGGCCCUGAGAUAACAUCGUGCCCACCUUCCUCUACUUUAUAGCUGGGAUGCCUCCCACAGCAUGGCGUGCAAAGUGGUGCCAUGUCCGCACCCGGGGUCUGAACCGGCGAACCCUGGGCCACCAAAGUGGAACGUGCACACUUAACCACUGUGCCACCGGGCUGGGCCCCCAAGUCCACUUUUAAAUAACACUAUACUACUUCAUGGGUGUUGUAAAUACCUUAUAAUAACAAAAUAACAGUAAUUCCUCUCUCUUUUCCCUUGUAUCAUUACUGUCGUUUACUUCACUGAUACAGAAGCAUAUAAAUAUAUAUAAGCAUACAUUGUUGGUAUUGUUACUUAGAACAAAUUGUUGUCUUUUAGACCAAUUAAGAAUAAAGAAAAUAAAA
ensembl:lncRNA